UACGGAGGGGGCAAGCGUUGUUCGGAAUUACUGGGCGUAAAGGGCGCGCAGGCGGCUGCUCAAGUCAGGCGUGAAAGGCCUGGGCUCAACCCGGGAAUUGCGCUUGAGACUGGGCUGGCUUGAGUGCGGGAGAGGAUGGUGGAAUUCCCAGUGUAGAGGUGAAAUUCGUAGAUAUUGGGAAGAACACCAGUGGCGAAGGCGGCUCACUGGCCCGUAACUGACGCUGAGGCACGAAAGCGUGGGGAGCAAACAGG
rnacentral:rRNA from 1 species